AGACCCGAAACCCGGUGAUCUAGCCAUGGGCAGGUUGAAGGUUGGGUAACACUAACUGGAGGACCGAACCGACUAAUGUUGAAAAAUUAGCGGAUGACCUGUGGCUGGGGGUGAAAGGCCAAUCAAACCGGGAGAUAGCUGGUUCUCCCCGAAAGCUAUUUAGGUAGCGCCUCGUGAAUUCAUCUCCGGGGGUAGAGCACUGUUUCGGCUAGGGGGCCAUCCCGGCUUACCAACCCGAUGCAAACUGCGAAUACCGGAGAAUGUUAUCACGGGAGACACACGGCGGGUGCUAACGUCCGUCGUGAAGAGGGAAACAACCCAGACCGCCAGCUAAGGUCCCAAAGUCAUGGUUAAGUGGGAAACGAUGUGGGAAGGCCCAGACAGCCAGGAUGUUGGCUUAGAAGCAGCCAUCAUUUAAAGAAAGCGUAAUAGCUCACUGGUCGAGUCGGCCUGCGCGGAAGAUGUAACGGGGCUAAACCAUGCACCGAAGCUGCGGCAGCGAACGUAUCACCCAAGACAACUUUACGGAGUUGACGAUUGACGGAGCGAAGCGACGUCAAAGCGUUCAUUAAAGUCGAGUUGGCUUAGGGAUACGUUCGUUGGGUAGGGGAGCGUUCUGUAAGCCUGUGAAGGUGUGUCGUGAGGCAUGCUGGAGGUAUCAGAAGUGCGAAUGCUGACAUAAGUAACGAUAAAGCGGGUGAAAAGCCCGCUCGCCGGAAGACCAAGGGUUCCUGUCCAACGUUAAUCGGGGCAGGGUGAGUCGACCCCUAAGGCGAGGCCGAAAGGCGUAGUCGAUGGGAAACGGGUUAAUAUUCCCGUACUUGGUGUUACUGCGAAGGGGGGACGGAGAAGGCUAUGUUGGCCGGGCGACGGUUGUCCCGGUUUAAGGGUGUAGGUGUGUGUUCCAGGUAAAUCCGGUUCACUUUAACACUGAGGCGUGACGACGAGGCACUACGGUGCUGAAGCAACAAAUGCCCUGCUUCCAGGAAAAGCCUCUAAGCAUCAGGUAACACGAAAUCGUACC
rnacentral:rRNA from 1 species